AACGAACGCUGGCGGCAUGCCUAACACAUGCAAGUCGAACGAAGUCCUUCGGGGCUUAGUGGCGCACGGGUGCGUAACGCGUGGGAAUCUGCCCCUUGCUUCGGAAUAACAGUUAGAGAUGACUGCUAAUACCGGAUGAUGUCGAAAGACCAAAGGUUUAUCGGCAAGGGAUGAGCCCGCGUAGGAUUAGGUAGUUGGUGGGGUAAAGGCCUACCAAGCCGACGAUCCUGAGCUGGUCUGAGAGGAUGAUCAGCCACACUGGGCCUGAGACACGGCCCAGACUCCUACGGGAGGCAGCAGUGGGGAAUAUUGGACAAUGGGGGAAACCCUGAUCCAGCAAUGCCGCGUGAGUGAUGAAGGCCUUAGGGUUGUAAAGCUCUUUUACCCGGGAUGAUAAUGACAGUACCGGGAGAAUAAGCUCCGGCUAACUCCGUGCCAGCCGCCGCGGUAAGAC
rnacentral:rRNA from 1 species